ensembl:lncRNA MIR99AHG mir-99a-let-7c cluster host gene
CUCUCUUAGGGUGCCACUACUAUGGAGACACAGCUGGGCUGAACAAGAUUUGCUUCAAACGACAACAAGAGAGACAGAAAGUAUCUGGUUCAACCGCUGCCCGAGCAGGCAGGCACCAGAAGAGCUAGCAGCCAAUCCGGCCAUGCUCGAAGCCAGCUCUGCAGCUCAGCCAAUCAGUGACAUCAUUGCUUUCUUUAGCUUGCCCAUGGUGAUGUGAAGAUGAGAAGAAAUAGCAAGGCCCAACCAGUUCUUCAUCUGGAGACAGUUCAACGUUCUGCAAACCAGAUCUUCAGGAAUUUUACUGGGAUAAUUAUCCAAAUAAAUUGCAAGCAUUCUAUCCAAAUGGAGCUCUUUCUGAGAUGAAGAGAAUUCUCAAUGUCAAGAUUUGAACAAGAAGAGAAUGGAAUACACAAUAUGGUAUAUAACCAGCAAUGAAAUUGCUGGAUCAUGUAGUAGCUCAAUUUUUGUUUUUUGAGGAAACUCCAAACUGUUCUCCAUAGUGGUUGUACAAAUUUACAUUCCACCCAACAGUGUACAAGGAUUCUCUUUUGUCCACAUCCUCGCAAGCAUUUGUUACUGCCUGUAUUUUGGACAUAAGCCAUUUUAACUGAGGACAUCCAUAAAAAUUCAUCAGAGAGCAUUUUACUACUGAGCUGCAAAGGUAGGAAAAAUAAAUUUUUUUUGGUUAGAAAAUAUACUUCUUUCAUCUGCGUUUCAAUAAUUUAUUCCCCUUGUUAGAUAUACAUGGAAUUGAUAUUGCUUAUUCUGACUAAGUGAAAAGUGUUAUUUCUACUUACUGCUCAAUUAGAAACAUGUAGUGUUUAAUUGUCAGUUUGAAUUUUUCUUUCAUACUAUUACAGUUUAUAUUUUACUAUAGGCAGAAUUUCCUCUUUAUCCUAAAUUUUGAUAUUCUCCAUAAUUUCAUCGUGCCUUGACAUUGCUGUAUAUAAUUUCUAUACAUCAGGAAGGCAAUUCUGUGUGCAUGUGUGUGUGUAUAUAUAUAGUUAGAAGUUAGAAACUGAAACUCUUUUUUGUCUACCAUCAUUUCAUAUUUUUCUUGCUAUUUCAAACCUAUAAUUUUUAAAGAAACGACUAACGUAAUCAUUCAUAGAAUAUGCUGUCAGUAACUUAACAAUAUAAAUGUUAACAUGGAGGCAUUUAGUUCAGCAUUUGCUUUACUUAAUAGAGUGCAGAAAAUGUGGCCCUUUUCUCAGUUAGGGUGUAUGUGAAGAUAAAUUUAGAAUUUCUAGACUAGUAAAUACUUCUCUGAUAAUAACUUAAUUAUAGCUAUUUCAAACCAAAUUGUUUAAUUGUGGUGAAUCAUAUGUAAAUUGUUCAGAUGUAGGUCAACACCCACGCCCACAUUCUAGCACCUCUUUCCUAAUUCAAGACAACUUUGCAGUGCCUAAAAGAGCUGAACAGUGCAGAUUAGAGACAUAAGACAAAAAAAAAAAAAAAACACAAAACAA